rnacentral:lncRNA from 1 species
GAUGUUCGGCGCACGCGGGGCCCCAGCCUGCCCCGUGGCUCUGACAACCCGACCCGGACGCGGCCAGUUUAGGAAGCGGAUGAGAUCACUGGCCUGAAACAAUUUAAAUUCUGGUGUUAGCAAGAAACGGGGGUAAUUUCGGCCACACAGACCCCCGCCCCCGGCCCAGUCGCAAACUCCUUUCACUUGCCGCUUCGCGCAGCCCUGAGCUUUUUUAAAAAGGGUCUGGAGUGAGCCUCAAGGCGAGAGCCUACAAUUUCCUCCCCCAGAUUUCGCCAUUUCAGGACUGACAGUGCGCUAGGCAGCAUAGGACCCUUUUCCAGCGUUUUCAGGGUGAGCCCCGUCAUGGUUUUCUGUCCUGGGCAAAAGUCGGAACCAUUGGGGUUCUGAUUUGUGUCGCCAAGAUAGAGAAACAUGCAAGUCUGCCCUAGAGAGAGUUGUCUCAAGGAAGUGUUUCUAAGUUUCCCUGAGGCUCUUUUAAGCGUUGUAUUGGUAUACAUUAGUAUAGAGAGGGUUGUUACUGAAUUUAAUGAAGUUUGUAAAGAUCUAAUCGUUAGAGCUAUUAUUGCUACCACUUAUUAAUCCUCCCUUGAAAUAUGCUUGUGGGGUGUUUUCCAUUUGCCUCACUUGUGAAAGACCCUUUCAAUGAUGAGAAAGUAUCUAAUUUUUCUGAUUGGGAAACUGAAUGGGAAAUCAAUUUUUAUCCUGCAUUUAAAGAGGAAAUAAAGUGUAGUAGCAUUGCACAUUUCAUGCAUCCUGGGCAUCCUCAUUUCAGCCAUGUAUAGGGUUGGAGCACAGGCACAGGAAGAUUUUCCCUGCCCUGACUACCUCCAUCUCUAGUGAAUGGCACUACAAUAUACGAUGGUCAGGCUUUGUUAUUUAUUUAUUUUUUAACACUUUUAUUUAUUUAUUUUUGUCUUGAGGGCCAAACCCAUGGCAUAUGGAGGUUCCCAGGCUCCCAGGCUAGGGGUUGAAUCGGAGCUAUAGCUGCUGGCCUACACCACAGCCACAGCAACUUGGGAUCCAUGCUGUGUCUUUGACCUACCACAGCUCACGGCAACGCCAGAUCUUUAACCCACUGAGCGAGGCCAGGGUUCAAACCCUUAACCUCAUGGUUCCCAGUCAGAUUCACUUCUGUUGCACCACAAUGGGAACUCCAGGCUUUGUUGUUUUACCUUUGGUUUAGAUGUUGGGGAUUCCUGUAGAGCCAAACAUUAAAAACAAUUCCCUCUAGGAGGAGAAGCUAGGGCUAAGAGCCAGGCAGCCUGAGCCAGUGUCUAUUUAAGGACUGUUCUCUACUCACUGGGUUCUGCCUCUGGGUAAACAAGUUUCAUACUUAAUUUGGUUUUCUGUAAAUGUCGAAAGUUUGUUUCCAGGAGUUUCCUUCAUGGUUCAGUGGUAGCAAACCCAACUAGCAUCCAUGAGGAUGCUGGUUCGAUCCCUGACUCCACUCAGUGGGUUAAGGAUCCGGUGUUGUCAUGAUCUGUGGUGUAGGUCGCAGACACAGCUUGGAUCGGAUCUGGUGUGGCUGUGGCAUGGGCUGCCAGUUGCAGCUCUGAUUGGACCCCUAGCCUGGGAACCUUCCAUAUGACACAGGUGCAGCCCUAAAAAAGAAAAAUUCCUUUUUUCCAGGUAGAUACUGUUGCCAGUAAUGUUAUUUUUUCUAAAUUGAUAUUCUUCCAUGCUAGUAUAAAAAGGAAAUAAAAGUUGGAAAGAUGGUAAACACACACACACAACCAUGAAAAGUUACCAUAAGAUAUUAACAGUUUUUCUUACUUCCAUAUCAGGCUUGGACCAGUUUAAGAUGCUGACAAGAUUCAGGGCUGGUGCUUAGAAGAAGCUUUUCAAGGAGGUAUGGUAUAUUUGAACAUGUGAAAUAUAUGGAACAGAGGUUUUUGCUUUCUCUAUCCCUUUCAUGGUGGUGGUGAUUAACUUUGAUCUCUUUGACAGAAAAUGGAUCAAUAGAUUGCUAAGGAUCAGGGAAUAGUUUGUUGCAUAAGUUUCAAGGGGUGUGUUCAUGAGGAACUAUUCCUACAUUUUGAUUUAAGGUUGGUUUCUGCAUUUGUCAAAUUUCAGUGUUUUACUGAAUGUAAAUUCUUCAAUAAACAUGAUU